UUUUGUUGGGUGCCCAAAAAUUAACGAUACCGAUUACCCGGUAUGUGAUGUCACCUCACUAGAAAAUUGCCAUGUCGACCUGUCGCGAACAAUAUACAAAUAUUAUAAAUG